UACGUAGGGUGCAAGCGUUAAUCGGAAUUACUGGGCGUAAAGCGUGCGCAGGCGGUUAUGUAAGACAGGUGUGAAAUCCCCGGGCUUACCUGGGAACUGCAUUUGUGACUGCAUAGCUAGAGUACGGUAGAGGGGGAUGGAAUUCCGCGUGUAGCAGUGAAAUGCGUAGAUAUGCGGAGGAACACCGAUGGCGAAGGCAAUCCCCUGGACCUGUACUGACGCUCAUGCACGAAAGCGUGGGGAGCAAACAGG
rnacentral:rRNA from 1 species